rnacentral:sRNA from 1 species
CAGCCGCAGGAGGCGCCGCACCUACUUCCCAAUAUAACCAACUACGGCGUGGGGGAGCGGAACUGCGAGAAGGCGGCAGCCAAAGUGCCAUUAAAGCUCGGGGCGGAGAGGAUGCGUUACCUGGGUCCCCUCUGCUGCGAGAGGCAGGGCAAGCUGGAGGAUUCCCUCUGAAUGAUUAAGAACUCCGCAAUUCGCCUCUGCCACAGGCUGCAAAGGACCCGAGGAACCGCUCUCUCUGAACUGUGCUGAUGGGCAGGAGGAUGGGAGACAGGAAUUGAGAGUCACAGAGGAAGGACAGUGGAGUCUGGCAUCUUAUUGUCAUCUCUAGGUAUCCAUGGAAGAUUGCUUCCAGGACCCUCCCCAGCAAUGGAAACCAAACUCAGGAGAAGUUCAAUUACUCCAGUCAGCCUUUCACAUCCAUGGGUUCUGCAUCCACAGUUGGGUGAAUCCACAGAUGUGUAACCCGUAGCUACCACUGGCUGACUGCACUUGACUUAUAUAUAUUUGGGCUCCUGUAUAUCCCUAUUGUCAAUUGUCUAUACAUCACUGGUAAAAAAAGGACUGAAAAUCAA